NCCAAGACUGGUUGCCCACUGAAGCUAAGCAGGGUUGAGCCUGGUCAGUACCUGGAUGGGAGACCUCCAGGGAAAACUAGGUUGCUGUUGGAA
rnacentral:rRNA from 1 species